AGAACGAACGCUGGCGGCAUGCCUAAUACGUGCAAGUCGAACGAACACUUCGGUGUUAGUGGCGCACGGGUGCGUAACGCGUGGGAAUCUGCCCUUGGGUUCGGAAUAACAGUUGGAAACGACUGCUAAUACCGGAUGAUGACGAAAGUCCAAAGAUUUAUCGCCCAGGGAUGAGCCCGCGUAGGAUUAGCUAGUUGGUGAGGUAAAGGCUCACCAAGGCGACGAUCCUUAGCUGGUCUGAGAGGAUGAUCAGCCACACUGGGACUGAGGCACGGCCCAGACUCCUACGGGAGCAGCAGUAGGGAAUAUUGGACAAUGGGCGCUAAGGCCUAGAUCCGAGCAAGUGACCGCGUGAGUGAUGAAGGUCUUAGGGUUGUAAAGCUCUUUUACCCGAGUACUGAUAGUGACUAGUAGUACGGGAGUAACUAAGGCCCCGGUACGUAACCGUCCGU
rnacentral:rRNA from 1 species